ACUUUAUUGCUAAAAAAUGCUAACAGUCAUCUGAGCCUUCAGUUAAUCAUAAUCUCUUUUCUGCUUGAGGGUUUUGCCACAGUAUUGAUGGCUGUUGACUGAUCAGGGUGGUGGCUGGUGAAGGUUGGGUGGCUGUGGCAAUUUUCUUAAAGUAAGACAAUGAAACUCGAUUGUCUUCUUCAAUCAGUUGACUCUUCCUUUCACAAAAACAUUUCUCUGUAGCAUGUGAUGCUAUUUAAUACAUUUUACCCAUAGUAGAACUUCUUUAAAAAUUGGAGUCAACCUUCUCAAAUUUUGUUUGGUGUUACUUUAUGAAUUAAAUUUAGGUAAUAGUAUAAAUCCUUUGUUGUUGUUUCAACAGUGUUCACAUAAUCUUCACCCGGAGUAAAUUCUAUCUCAAAAACGACUUUCUUUGCUCAUCCGUAAAAAGCAACUUCAUAUCCAUUCAGGUUAGAUCAUGAGAUUGCAACAAUUCAUUAGUCACAUCUUCAAGCCCCACUUCUAAUUAUACUUCUUUUACUAUUUCUACCACAUCUGCAGUUACUUCCUCUGCCGAAGUCCUAAACCCCCUAAGGCCUUCAUGAAGGUUGGCAUUAAGUUCUUCCAAACUCCUAUUCAUAUUGAGAUUUUGAACUUCUCCAAUGAAUCACAAAUGUUCUUAGUGGCAUUCAGAAUGGUGAAUCUCUUCCAGGUUUUCAACUGUCUUUGCCCACAUUCAUCAGAGGAAUCACUGUUUGUGACAGCUAUAGGCUUACAAAAUGCAUUUCUUAAUAGGACUUACAGUUUAAAUUACUCCUUGAUCCAUGGGCUGCAGAAUGGAUGUUAGGUUAGCAGGCAUGAAAACAACACGAAUCUCAUGGUACCUCUCCAACAGUGCUCUUGGGUAAAGAGGUGCAUUGUGAAUGAGUAGUAAGAUUUUGAAAGGAAAUCUUUCUUAGCAGUAGGUCUCAAGAGUGAACUUAAAAUAUUCAGUAAACCAUGCUAUAAUCAAGUGUUCUGUCAUCCAGGCUUUGUUUUUCCAUUUAUAGAGCACAGGCAGAGUAGCUUUGGCAUAAUUCUUAAGGGCCUUAGGAUUUCUGGAAUGGCAAAUGAGCAUUGACUUCAACUUGAAGUCACCAGCUGUACAGACCCUAAGAAGAAAGUCAGCCUAUCCUUUGAAGCCAGACAUUCACUUUUCUUCAGCUCUGAAAGGCCUAGAUGGCAUCUUCUUCCAAUAGAAGGCUGUUUCAUCUACACUGAAAAUCUAUUGUAGAGUGUAGCCACCUUCAUCAGUGUCCUUAAGUAGGUCUUCUGGAUAGUUUGCUACAGCUUAUCCAUCAGCACUUGCUGUUUCACCUUGCAGUUUUAUGUUAUGAAGAUAGUUCCUUCCCUUAAACCUCAUGAACCAAUUUCUGCUAGCUUCAUUUUUUUUUUUCUGCAGCUUUCUCACCUCUUUUAGCCUUCAUAGAAUUGAAGAGAGUUGAAGCCUUGCUCUGGAUUAGGCCUUGGUUUAAGGGAAUGCUGUGGCUGGUUUGAUCUUCUAUUCAGACCACUCAAACUUUCUCCAUAUCAUCAAUAAGGCUGUUUGGCUUUCUUAUCAUUUGUGUGUACAGUGGAUAAGCACUUUUAAUUUUCUUCAAGAACUUUUCCUUUGCCACAGUUUGGCUAUUUGGCACCAAAGGCCUAGCCUUUGACCUAUCAGCCUUUGGCAUGCCUUCCUCACUAAGUUCAGUCAUUUCUGGCAUUUGAUUUAAAGUGAGAGACACGCAACUCAUCACUUGAACAUGUAGAAGCCAAUUUAGGAUUAUUCAUUGACAUAACUUCAAUACUGUGGUGUCAUAGGGAAUAAGCAGACCUGGGACAGGUGGCCUGUGUCUUUCUUGUGCCAGUUGCAGGAUUCGCCACCACGCCGCCAAAAGUGAUGCACACAGCAGCCCAAAGACAUUUUGAAUAGCUCAAAAACUUCCCCCCA
rnacentral:lncRNA from 10 species